UUUAAGACUGGUACAAUCAUCAGCUUUAUUCUCUAUGACAUGGGGCAGAUCUCCAGCGGAUUGUUCUCAAACCCAAAAACCUGAUGACAAAUGAGAAUUAAAUAGAGGGGGGAGAGGGAUGGAGGGGUGGUGGUGGUGUGGUGGGGAACAUACCGUACACAAAAUACUCAAUUCCUAGUUUUCUCUUUAAAAAUGGCUAGAAAAAAGUCAUCAAAAUGCAGCAGUUUCAUCGAAUAUUUACAAUUUCUAUGUUACAAUGAAAAAAAAAAUGUACAUCUUAUAGAACAUGUUUCAUAAACCGCUCGGCUCGAGACAAGCAGGUCAAAACAGCAAACCUCCCAUUCGAUAUCCGCAAAGUUGGACUGUUUUUGCUUUUGAAGUAGAUUUGCCAGGGUUGGAAUUUGAGCACACAGAAUUUUAAAGUCGAGCAUUAAACAAUAAAAUUUAAAAUGUCCCCAAGGUCAGAGGAAGAUCUGGGUGAGUCUUGCCCUUGUCACACUCCCACCCCACCCCCAACCUUAAGUUAAAAGGACUUCUGUAGAAUUCUUGGCCUCCUGGGAAGAAAACUUUUGGCUCCCCCUGGUACCUCAGCAGCGGCAUUGCAUAGGAUUUCAAAAGUAGCCUAUCUAUAGAAAAAGGCAAAAUGGAAGCAUUGCAGACAGAGUUCUAAAUGGGUACAAAGUCAUUUUGUCCAAGGUCGAGCAACUUAAAAGGAAAAUCAUGACCCAGUCGGAAAUGUGCCUUUCAGACAGCCCCACUUCCCAGUGUUUCGGGAAGGUGGCUGAGCCAGGAGGCACUCUGGGGCUACAGAACCAAGUCAGGCAGCAAUGGGUACACAGGCUAGACACGUGGUUUGAAACUUUUAUUACAAACAAAACAACAGAAGACACACUCACAUCCACACUAGUAGCAAAGGCAGGCUGGGUCUGGGCUUACAGCAGGGAACGGAAAUGUUUCUAGUUACCAGUUAGCAGGACACAUUCUUGUUCCUUUCAAUGAGGAAGAAAAUCAGUGCCAUUCCAAAGAAAGCGAGCAGUUUUGGGCCAAGCUCUUAGGGUAAGAAAAAAAAAAAAAAAAAAAAAGACAAACGUUCAAGAAUGGAACAUCAAAGAUGAGGUUAAAAACCCUGAUCGUUAACAGAGACACCCUCGGUGGGGCCAGGAAAGUUUCUAUAAAACACAAAGAGCUCAAAGAUGUCCAUACGGUGAAGAGGACACCAGUGUGCUGAAGCCAUGGCACACUGAGGGGUGUGUCCUAGAGUACAAAUUUGCAAGGUUGAAUGGACUUGUGGGGUCACUGUCCAGUGAAUUUGUUGGCUGGAGACCGAUAGGAGCCUAAAAAACAUCUCUCUCUCUCUCUCUCUCUCUCUCUCUCUCUCCCUCCCUCCCUCCCCCUCCCCCCCCCCCAAUCAUACAUCCACAUAGAUGACUCUCUGAGAUGAGAGGUCGGCAACUUGUGUUCUCUUCAUGGAUAGAUGACUUAUAGCCCUGUUUACUUCGAUGGGGAAGACACACACACACACACACACACACACACACACACACACACACACACACACACACACACAACCCCAGGCAGGCACAACACUCAUGUGAAUGGACACGGUCAGCACAAAACCAGUAAGGCAUUGCAUGGGGGCGGUCAGCACCGAAGAGGUCAGGCAAGGCUCAUCGGGACGGAGGCACGGCUGGCCGGGUUUCUGGGAAGGGUGGCCGCCCCUCCCUGGCUAAGCUGUGUCACAUUGGAUCUGAGGAAAGUGCCAGCUUUUGGUGAGGGGGCAUCGUCAACUCCUCCUGCAACUGGGGUCUGGGGUGCCCAAGGUGAUGCUGUGGGGUUCUCAGCUCUCAGAGACAAGAAGGAAAGGCGAGGUCCAUGGCUCACCCACAGGAGGAGAACUAGUCCUCCUCUAUCUGAAAGGAUAUGGAUGCCCACACAACCCCGGAAGGAGGUGUCGAGGGCCCAGAACUGUGACAGUGGACACUGAAAACCCAGGCUGAGGGAGGAGGCAAACUCUACUUAGUUCUUGCUUUCACCAAAGGACUAAUUCUGGUCAAGGGAGUGGGGGUUGGGGAAAAGGGGCCUUCACAAUCAACCAGGAAGAAAGGCAGACACAGGCAGGGGUUGAUAGUUCUCCAAAGAACUACUUGUACAGUACACAGUGUUUGCGGACAGAAACCUGACCAUUUAGACAGACGAAGGAAACAGGCGCGCUUUUCUGUGUUGCUAGCCCCAUCUGCUCACUCACAUUCUUGCAUCUUCACUUGCUCUCACAGAUCAUGGGGGUGGGGGUGGGGGUGGGUGGGAGGGAUGAUGGGCCGGGAACAGGGGGAGGGGUGCACUGGAAUAGACAGAAUACCUCUCGGGAAGGCGAGCACCAUGUGGAAAACAGAGACAUGUGAUGUAUGGGUGUCCCUGGGUGGCGCUCCAAGCAGGCGCCCUCGUUAGCACCAAUUCUUCCAUGGAGGGUGGGUGGCAUGGCUCUGGGGUGCUGGUGGCCAGACCCAAACUGGCGGGGUCUGUGCUGGGAGUAAGCCCUGCUGUCUGUGUUUCCAAGUUGAGUUUAGUCUUUUCUGUCUGGGGGGUAGUAUGUGGAGGGAUGCUGUUGGGUUUCAGGGCACCAAGUGGAAUCUUACGUUUAAAAUUUCCAUUUAAACCCUUUAUAUUUCAACAGUGAGGAUCCUUUCCCAUGAAGUAUUUUCAGUGUCUCACGGAGGUCACGGCAACAAGGCAAAAAAAAAAACGAGGAUGAGGGUAGAAGAGAGGCUAGUACAGUUGUCACUGUCGGAAGGGGAGGUCCUGGGCUGCUCAUGCGAGGGCAGAGAGCAAGGGACGAGGAGGGGUUCCUGCUCCCGCUACUCUGCUCUGGCUUCAAGGCUGUGGCAGCCAGGGCUGGCUCAGGAAGUCAUCUUCAGAACGAAGUGGAGGAUGCGGGGUGGGAUGGAGCGAGGGAGAGUGGGGGAGUCUCCAUCACAGAGUGGACUCCAAGGACGAGUCCAGGAUGUCGUCAUGGUGGCUGUUGCUGUUGGAGUCGCUGUCAUAGCUCUGGGGGCUGGAGUAGUUGGCCGCCUCCUGCAACCUCAUCAGCAUGUUCAUCUGUGG
rnacentral:lncRNA from 1 species